ensembl:lncRNA
CAUGAAAUAUUAUUUUUUUAACUUUUGAAAUGAAACUUAUCAUUAUGAAUAGAACACAUUCUGAGUACGUGACUUCUCAGAAUCUCUCAACAACACUUGGGUUUAAUUUAAAUACGUGGACUUCUUCUCAGAAUCUCUAUCACCAUGUGGAUUUCUUAGAAUCUCCACACACCAAUCCCCCACUCGAGUCUUAUCAAAAGACUCGCCACAACCUUUUCCUUAAAUCAAAACCAAAAAAUACAGAGUAAUUCAAAAGAAAAAUACAUGAUGCAUACAUGAAAAUGUAGAAAAUCAAUAAAACAAUUUCAGAUAGAUAGUACUGUAGAUACCUCUCUAACCCCAGCUACCUUAAAAUUAACAAAGAUCUUCACCAAGAUGGCCAGACGAGAACUCCUAAGGAAAUUCGACCCCUGGCGUCCCCUGGACUUUUGCUGGGUUGAGGACUUAACACAGCCGUCCAUCUUUCCCAACUCUAAACUCUAUCAUUGUUCUUUCUCUUCUUGCCCUUGGGAGAUAGCAGUUGAAGAUAUUAAUUUCCAAACUUUCGUUGAUCGUUUUCAACAUCUCAUACCUUUCCUUACCCUUCACCUGUAAGGUAUAGAUUUCCUCAUCACUACAAAUGGGAGAAUAAAAAUAUCUUUUGAUCUAUAUGUAAAUCUAUAUAUAUCAGCUGGUAGACUUUAGCACAGGUCUCUCAGAUGACGUAGAAUUAGUUAACGAGUAAUGUUAUGAUGAUGCGAUGAAACACUGAUGUCCAGCCACGAGCACAGCAACCACUCCCAGAAUGUCAAUGAGCUGCACUGUUGCAGAAGUCACAUUAAAGGGUCACCCUUAGAACCAGUCGUGUGUGGUAAAUAUACGCAGAAUAUUUCUGUGACAGCAUGCACUCGUACCUUUUAGAGAUAUAGAAUAGUAGGAGCAGAAAUAUUUGGAUAAAAACACAACAAAAACACACACAUAACGACACAUAGACAAACUAAACAGGACAAUACCAGUACACAUAAACAUAAACACCAUGGUUUUCAGUUUCUCUUUUUUUUUUUAUAUAUAUAUAUAUAUAUUAAACACAAUAGGUCCGGAUGGAAUCAUAGUUGAGAACCUAAAAAGAGGAAACAAUUAGUCAUUGUUCUUCCUUAGCAGACAUUCCUUGGAUAUAAAAUACUGCACCUGUUGGACUAAAUCACAUUAGAAAGAGAGUUAGUAUCAGCAAGCGGCGACAGAGGCUUCACUUGUGCAAGAUGCAUCCAUCGAGUCAAACCUGGCUCGAUUUCAACAAGAAGAAAUGUUGGAGUAGUCAACAAUACCGAAUAAGGACCCUCAUACUUGGAGGACAUUGGUCCUAAGUUCCCUAUUUUCUGUAUCAUCACUUCGUCCCCCACUUGUACGUGAUUUUUAACCUUUACAUUGAAUAUAGUGUUUUAAGAUCUCAAGCAUUUUGAGCACUGAGGGCACUCAAAUUGGCAUUCUUAAUGCGCACGUGAGUACUUUAAGAUACUCCUGUAAAGUGUCUUUCAGUGGACCCGAAGGACCUGAGCACAACAACUGAGCUUUAGGGGAAGGUACAGUUAAAACCCAAAGACCUUUUAGAAAGAAAUUUGACUUAGUUGUACUUUCUUUUUAUAUGUCUUAUACAACUAUGAUGAAUUUUGGUUAAUUUGUUAUAUUGUAAAAUAAAUUAAUUGCCAUAAACGUAUGUAUGUAUUAUUCUCUGGAAGCCGGGCUAAAUGAAUAAUCACUGUUAUUGCAUUCCUGACAUAGGUCAGACCCUCAGUCACCUCAAAGAUACCAAAUACAGACAUUGUUUAUAACCUAAAUCCCAGUAAAGAUACCCCUAUUUUAUGAAAAUCUAUCAUUCCUGAACCAUGGUGCAAUGAGAGGGACUGAAAAUCCAAUACACCCUUUCAGAGCAUCUGGAAAAUUUACAACAAAACUAGUACAUAUUUGUACCCAUGAUCAGAAGGUAACGAAAUAAAAUCCAAUUGUAAAUGUGUGAAUGGUCCUCGCGGGCGAGGACUGUGACCAAUUGGGAAUUUAACUUUUCCAAAUUAUGGCUGCGUUUGCAAACAGUGGAUACAUCUGGACAGUCUAUCCUUCACAGUUUGUAACAUCUCUGACCAAAACCAUGUUUGUUGUAACAUAGCAUAUGUUUUCUGAACCCCUUGGUGUGCAAUGCUGUGGUACAAAUCAAUUAGUUCAGUUUGAUAUCCGCUAGAUGGAAUGACUUUUCAUUCAGGGCAUAAACCCCUUCUUCAGUUAAGGUAGCUCCUAAUUUCUGACACAUUUCACGAUCCUCAGUUGUGUACAAUUUAGAUAAAGUUUUGGAACCCGUGCAAUCAGGAUGAACAGGGAAAAUAACAGCUACUUCCUCAAGUGCCACACCCUUUGCACCUUCUCUCGCAGCCUUAUCAGCUAGAGAGUUUCCUUUUGCCAACCAAUCAUUGAAUGUACUGUGACCUGUGACUUUACAUACCGCGACACUGUUUGGUGGAAUUUUCUCACACGUGUCAAGAAUUUCUUUAAUCAUGGUUUGAUGAGUUAUUGGCAUACCCGCUGUGGUCAAAUAACAACAACGUUUCCAAACAGGGCCAUAACUCUGCACUACAUGGUAGCUGUAUGCACUAUCAGUAAAAAUAUUUACAUUAGUGGAGCUAUUUUCACUGGCAGUUAGUUUAAGAGCCAGAUUUAAGGCAGCUUUCAAAGCAUGCAAUUCAGCUAUCUGAGCACUUCCUCCCGAAGCGACCCCUCAGCCAAGACCCCGCCCGUCUUCCCCUCUACUACCACCCACCCCGUGUAGCGUGUGUCACCCUCGUAGAAACUGCUGCCAUCCACGAACAUGUCCAGAGAAUCUGAAAACGGUUCAUCUCUGACAAAAUGUCCCCUGUCACAGAUAAUUACCUCGGCGCAGUCAUGGAGGCAGAAUUUGUCCGGUUGUCUGCAACAACAGUGAGCUGAGGGUUCAUGAGAGCAGUUUCCCAUUUUGCACGUCGUUGAUUUGAAAUCGACUUUAUUUUUGUCUCUGCGAGCAUGCGUAGAAAACGAUGUGGAGAGUGAAGGAUCAUCUGAUUGUAACAGACGAUGGCCUCAGUGACCUUCAACGCCCACUCAGCACAGUCCAAGGCCAUCAAACAGGGCAUCUGUCCAUUCAUGGAAGAAGGAAUCAAAGUUGAAUAAUACCCAACUAUGCCAUAACUUUUGUCACCUUUACAUUGUCCCAGCACACAGUUAUAAGUACUUGGCCCAACAUGUGUCCAUACAUGGAAUGUCUUUGUCAUGUCGGGGUGAUAUAACGCGGGAGAGGAGAGUAAAGGACUCAGCCAUGUCCGCUGUCCACUCCAAAGGGGAAGCACCCGGAAGGCCUCCUUUAAGAGCCUCUGUUAGAGGUUUAGCCAAAUCAGAAAAAUCUGGGAUAUACAUCCGAUUAAAAUUAAAUAGCCCCAUUAAUGAUCUUAAACCAGUAACUUUGGUUGGCUUAUUUAAAUGAGUGAUGGCUAUGACCCAGUCUGGAAGAGGUCUCUUUCCCUCACGACCUAUACUUUGACCUUAAAAUGUAACUUCCGAUUGAAACAAUUGGACCUUUCGUUUGUUCAAGAGGAAACCCGCCUCUUGGAGUAUUUUCAACAACCGAGUGAGUACACUCAAGUGUUGUGCUUUAUCUUGAGAUGCGAGAAGAAUGUUGUCACAAUAUUGAAAGGCAAAUCUGUAUUGAUCUUCUUCUCUGAUAGGACAAAA